rnacentral:rRNA from 1 species
AUAGGCGAUUUUAAUGAGAUUUUAUACUCUCAUGAAAAGGAGGGAGGUGCAGCACGACCUGUACGUAUGAUGCAAAAUUUCCGCGACGCCCUAGUGGAUUGCGAACUAGAUGACAUGGGUUAUACCGGUGAACAAUUUACAUAGAGAAGGCGACGCAUCAGGGAACGUUUGGAUCGAGUUGUUUGUAAUGCGGGCUUCCAGAAGUGUUAG